rnacentral:sRNA from 1 species
UGCACCGCCCAAUAGGGAAGGAUGAGAAGCUUCGACUAAGGUUCGAUUCGAGCGUAGCGAGAAAGCGUUGCCGCAGGCAACGACCCGAAGGGCGAAGCGCGCAGCGCUGAGUAAUCCUUCCCCCACCACCU